rfam:Linderina pennispora strain ATCC 12442 DL89scaffold_3, whole genome shotgun sequence.
GGCCGCGUGGCCCAAUGGAUAAGGCGCUUGACUACGGAUCAAGCGAUUCCAGGUUUCGAGUCCUGGCGUGGUCG